ACUGUGUAUCUUAGGCCACCCAAGAAUAUUUUGUCCCAAAGAGAAGUUGUUCAAGUUUGGGAGAACCUCAUUGGCAAAGAGUUGCACAAGUCAUCAAUCUCAAAGCAAGAGUUUCUAGCUAAUUUGAAAGAUUUAGAUUAUGCUUGGCAAGUUGGAAUGGGGCAUUAUUACAAUGUGUUUUUUGAAGGUUGCCUAACAAAUUUUGAAAUAGGCGACGAAGGGGUCGAGGCAACUCAACUUUAUCCAGAAAUCAAGUAUGUUUCGGUAUACGUUUACAUGAAGCGCUAUCUCUAAUAAAUGACACAUAUAGACCUUAAUAUAAUUUUAAGUAUAUAAUAAAGUCUGUUAGGGUUUUUCAUUCUUGAAUCCUUAACUUCCGAAAGACCUUCCCUGAGCUCAGGCGUGGCUUGGUUAGGGUCUGUGGUUUUACUACUGCAAUUAGUCUUGUCACUGUGAUAUAGUUUUGUGUGUCUUUUAUUUAGGUUACUGUGAUAAAUCUUAUCUCUGUAACAUGGUUUUAUUUUUGUUUCAUUGUUGGUUCGUUUUCUUUAUCAAAUCAUUGUUAGCGGUUGAGAACAACAAGCUUUUUACGGUUUAAUGAGUUAUUAAUAGUGCAGUUACGUACCUUGUAUUGCAUAAUAGUUUAUUUUAUUUAAGUUUCUUUUGUAAAA